UUGGCCGAAACUAAGAAGAAAGAAGAAUGUUUAAAAGCUUUAACAUUUUCGGCACUUACAAGCUUGAUUAAGGUAUGAAUUUUGUUCGGUUUUUGAUAAUUUUUACGUUUUUGAGAUCGUUGUUUUGAAUACUUCAAAACCCAUGUCUUAAUUUUGUGAAUUGUUGAUGAUUUUGAAAUGUGCCAUUGAUGAAUGUUUGAUUUUUAUGAUGUUAGUAGGUGAAAUAUGAAAUAUAUGUGUUAGAUUAACAUGUUUUGUUUUUUGAAUUUUUGGUGAAUUUGAGUAAUUAGGGUUAAAUUGUGAAAAUAAAUUUUUGAGGGAUUAAAAUGAAAAAUAAAUGAAAUGCAUGGACUUGUAUGAAUACAAGGAAGAUUCGGACUAACUAUGUUGUUGUGAGAUUUUGUGUAUUUUGUGUUUUAUGCAAUAGGGACUAAAUUGCAAAAAGUGUAAAAUAUUAGGGGGAAUGGUAAUUUUCUCAUUUAUGUGUUUUUGGAUCAAAUUGAAUGAUUUGGUAAAUAAAAGGGUUAAAUUUGAAUAUGUUUAGAUCGAGAAUCGAAGAAAACAGAAUUAGAUCGAGGGAAGUCGAAAGUAGUCGAUUAGUCAAUUUCGCCCGUCGAAAUCUGAGUUAAGUCGAUAAGCAUUUAAAUUUGUUAAAAUUCAUGAAUAUAUAUAAUAGAUAUGUAGUAAAUUGAAUUAUUGAAUUAUUGAAUUGGUUAAUUGUCUUGGCCGAAUUUGUAUGCUAGGAUAGAGAUUUUAUUUCGAGUUCGAUUCAAUCGAAAAUCAAUGUUUGAAGCCCAUACGAACCCUUGGAAUAGAUGGGAUACUUAUGUCAUGACAUAAGAUUUCCUAUAAGUGUUUUCGUGUGAGACCACGUUUGGGACGUUGGCAUCGACUUGUGUUUUCGUGUAAGACCACGUUUAGGACGUUGGCAUCGACUUGUGUUUUCGUAUAAGACCCUGUCUGGGAUAGUGGCAUCGAUCUGUGAUUACAUGUAAGACCACGUCUGGGACGUUGGCAUUGUACGAGCCUUACGACUAUUCGCGUAUCCUUUUAAAUUCCGAACGGUUCAACGGGUAAUGUUAAACGAAGACGAAUAUGUAAUUGAAUUAUAUGUGCAGGUAUGUAUUAGUUAAAUGAAUAUAUGGAAAUAAGGUAAGUUAUUUAUUUAGAAUUAUAUAUAGUAUGUGAAUAUAAAUUUUGAAUGAUCAUGUUUGUACAUAUAUGUGUAAUUCGGUUUUUAGUUGAUAACUAUGUUGUCAAAGGUGAAAAAUUUAUAUGCAUUUAUACAUGGAUAUAUUCGGUAUUAUAAUUGUAUAUGUGAUCAAAGUAUGACUAUGUAAUGUAUGAACUCUUUAUAUAGUAAAUUAUGUGCCUUUAAUCUUUACUAGUUAAAUAUUGUUUAUGCUUAUGACUUACUAAGCUUUAAAUAGCUUACUGUGUGUGUUUGUAUUUGUUUACCUUUGUUUCAUAGAUUUUGAAGUCGUUACAAGCUCGAGGAUCGUCAGUAAAGCCUAUCACACUAUCGACUAACUACAGUAUAUUAUAAGCUGAAAUUUCUUUUGAAACUAUGGCAUGUAUAGACUAGCUUUGGGGUUUGCUUAAUUCGAAAAUGUAUGUAUUAAAGCCAUCCGAAAAUGGCUUAAUUUUCUUGUUUGUGCUUGGUUUUGGUUGAAUUAAGACUUAAGCUUACUUUGAUCAUGGUUUAAAUUUUAUGUGGAUGAUAU
rnacentral:lncRNA from 1 species